GACGAACGCUGGCGGCGUGCUUAACACAUGCAAGUCGAACGGAAAGGCCCUGCUUUUGUGGGGUGCUCGAGUGGCGAACGGGUGAGUAACACGUGAGUAACCUGCCCUUGACUUUGGGAUAACUUCAGGAAACUGGGGCUAAUACCGGAUAGGAGCUCCUGCUGCAUGGGGGGGGUUGGAAAGUUUCGGCGGUUGGGGCUGGACUGGCGGCUUAUCGGCUUGUUGGGGGGGUAGUGGCUUACCAAGGGUUAGAGGGAUAGCCGGCCUGAGAGGGGGACCGGGGUCAAUAGGACUAAGAGACGCAGCAGUCGCGAAUGGUAGGCAACAGUCGGGAGUAUUGCACAGUGGGGGGAAGUCUGUGGCGGCGGCGCUCGGUGCGGGAUGCCGUGCUUCGGGGUGUGAACAACUUUCGCCUGAGACGAAGCGGGCGUGACGGUACUGGAUAAAGAAGCACCGGCUAACUACGUG
rnacentral:rRNA from 1 species